rnacentral:rRNA from 1 species
UGGGGAAUCUUGCACAAUGGGGGAAACCCUGAUGCAGCGACGCCGCGUGAACGAUGAAGCCCUUCGGGGUGUAAAGUUCUUUCGACAGGAACGAUAAUGACGGUACCUGGAGAAGAAGCUGCGGCUAACUACGUGCCAGCAGCCGCGGUAAUACGUAGGCAGCGAGCGGUGUUCGGAGUUACUGGGCGUAAAGAGUGCGUAGGCGGCGAGCCAAGUUUGGUGUGAAAUCUCCCGGCUUAACCGGGAGGGUGCGCCGAAAACUGGUUGGCUGGAGUAUGGGAGAGGAAAGCUGAAUUCCUGGUGUAGCGGUGAAAUGCGUAGAUAUCAGGAGGAACACCUGCGGUGUAGACAGCUUUCUGGACCAAAAUUGACGCUGAGGCACGCAAGCGUGGGUAGCAAACA